rnacentral:rRNA from 1 species
CCUACGGGUGGCAGCAGUGAGGAAUAUUGGUCAAUGGACGGAAGCCUGAACCAGCCAUGCCGCGUGCAGGAAGACGGCUCUAUGAGUUGUAAACUUCUUUUAUCAAGGAAUAAAGUGAGGCACGUGUGCCUUUUUGUAUGUACUUUAUGAAUAAGGAUCGGCUAACUCCGUGCCAGCAGCCGCGGUAAUACGGAGGAUCCGAGCGUUAUCCGGUUUUAUUGGGUUUAAAGGGAGCGUAGAUGGGUUGUUAAGUCAGUUGUGAAAGUUUGCGGCUCAACCGUAAAAUUGCAAUUGAUACUGGCAGUCUUGAGUACAGUUGAGGUAGGCGGAAUUCGUGGUGUAGCGGUGAAAUGCUUAGAUAUCACGAAGAACUCCGAUUGCGAAGGCAGCUUACUAAACUGCCACUGACAUUGAUGCUCGAAAGUGUGGGUAUCAAACAGGAUUAGAUACCCGAGUAGUC